rnacentral:rRNA from 1 species
UUCAGGCACUUUUAACUCUCUUUCCAAAGAACUUUUCAUCUUUCCCUCACGGUACUUGUUUGCUAUCGGUCUCGCGCCAGUACUUAGCUUUAUGUGAAACCUACCACACAUUUUGCGCUCGAAUCCCGAUGAACGCGACUCUAUAAAAGCGUACCGUACGUGGAACAAAAAACGCAGGGGAAGGACGGGAUUCUCACCCUCUAUGAUGUUCUUUCCCAAGAAACUUAACCCUGCGCUUCCACUGGUAACGCCUCUCGAGGCUACAAGUCAACAGCUCGGAAAGAGCAGUUGAUUUCCACUUUGAGCUGAUCCCGGUUCACUCGCCGUUACUAAGGGAAUCAUAGUUAUUUUCUUCUCCUCCGCUUAAUAAUAUGCUUAAGUUCAGCGGGUAACCUCGCCUGAUUUCAGGUCUG